rnacentral:misc_RNA from 1 species
AACCUCUCACUGUCUCAUUAUACUCCCUCUUUGCCUUCUUCCUCAGCUUCUUGUUAUCCUCCUCCAUUAACCUUCUCGAUUUCCGGUUGGGACCGGCCAUGACAUCGUACUGAUCAGCCCAGCAAAAAUCCAUAACCGUACAAAACCCAAGCCAGUAAUUAUAAAACGCAGUCACCUGCGUAUACGGACUAUCUAAAUUCCCCAUAACUGGAGCUUCACG